rnacentral:lncRNA from 1 species
AAAAAGGGGAGAGAGGUGAAGCUGGUGAAAAGGGCAGGGAUGGCACUCCAGGAUUUCCGGGAGAGAGGGGCCUUCCUGGGUCAGAAGGAAAAGCGGGUUUACAGGGUAUUAGAGGGCCCCCUGGCCCAGUUGGAAAUCAAGGGGAUCCUGGAUCACAAGGCCCUCCUGGUCCUAUUGGCCCACCUGGCACUCAAGGUUUACCUGGAAUAAAGGGAGAUGUAGGAGAACCUGGGUCCAGCACACGAGGUAUGCCAGGCCCUCCAGGAAAUGUGGGAUUCCCAGGACCAACAGGAUCUCCUGGUCCUGUGGUAAGUUACAAAUAUUCUGCUUUAGUUUCAGAGAACUAUUAA